UUACGGCCACAUCAUGUUGAGACAUCGGUUCCCGUACGAUCACCGAAGUUAAGCAAAUUCAAGCCUGGUUAGUACCGAUGAGUGACUGAUUGGGAUUAUCAGGUACUGUAAG